rnacentral:snRNA from 1 species
CGUCACUGGCUCCAGUGCAUUUAACCGAGAAAAUCUUUCGCCUUUUACUAAAGAUUUCCGUGCACUGGAGCAUUCAUGAGUAUUCGCCAAUUUUUGCCAUCCCCUCGGAAGAGCGGGA